CGGGGCAGCCAAAGAAGUUUUGUCGUCCUCAUUACCAUCAUCGUCAUCAUUGAGUUCGAAAUCUUUCUUAAAAAAGAAGUACAAGGGAGUUAGAAUGCGAAGCUGGGGAUCAUGGGUUUCUGAAAUAAGGGCACCUAACCAAAAAACAAGAAUAUGGUUAGGGUCAUAUUCAACACCAGAGGCAGCCGCUAGGGCAUAUGAUGCAGCUCUCUUAUGCCUUAAGGGAACUUCAGCCAAUUUCAACUUUCCAGUAUCCAAAUCUCAAAACCUCCACCCUAAUACGAUCAUGUCCCCUAAGUGCAUCCAAAGGGUGGCUGCUGCCGCAGCCACAGCCGCCAACAAUGGCUUUUCUCCACCCGAACCAUGCAUCUCUUCCACUUCCUCAGCCUCAACACCACCAACUCCAUCACCAUUAACACCAUCUCCAACUUUAUCUUCUUCAUCACCUGCCUGCAGCCUCAUUGAAGAUGAUGCUGUCUCAUUAACACCACCAUUGAUCGAUGACUACACAGUACCCUAUGUUGCAGAAGAGACAAUAAUGGCCUCAUGGUACAACUUUGAUUCCCCCAAGUACACAGAUAUCCUCCUCAACGGGGAAUUCUUUGAUCCAUUAAUAAUGGAAGAUCCUUACGACAAUAUCGACAUUCCUUUGUGGAGCUUCUGCUGAUCAAGAGGCACUUUUGGUUAGAUGGUUGAGUAGCACUUGACAAUAUUAAUAUUGUCCAGUACUAUGUACCAGACGUACACUCAAAGUACUAUUGAUCCAACUCAUUCACUAUUAUUUAUACUUUCAUUCAUUGGAUGAUCUUCAGUUAUUUCUUGAAGACGUUACUGACCAAAAAUGUUUAAUAUCUUAGUAUUAAUGUUGAAUUUUUUAGAAAACAAGAAUUCAGAAGAGAGAAACAUAUAAAUUUGUACUCUAUACUUUAUGUUGUUUGUCAUCCCUACAUGUAAUGAGGCAAAAAUUAAUAUUUCUUUCAAGUUAAAUUGUAAUAUAAAUUGUUCCUCGUUUAAUUUAUCUCGUGAACCAAAAGUAUGAUCUAUUUUCCUUUAUAUAUAUAAGGGGUUGAUUUAAUCAUUCUAAUAAUGGAUUGUUACUUUAUUGUAGCAUUGUUUCGUCAAGGCUUAGUGGUAUGUCAUAAAUAUGUUAAAUGAAUUAGACAUAUUUCAUUACGUGAAGGCGCUUCUUUAGUAAUUUCAAUAUGCUAGAUGUAAAUCGUGCUUUACACCUUUAUUGACAUCCCUCCCUAUGGAGAAGAAAUAUGUGCAAUUAGUCCAUCGGGGCAUAACCUAGUAGUGCAAAGGAAAGGAGUGAGGUUAUUUCACGCCUUGUUAACAGUCGUAGUAUGAGGGUUCGAUUCCUGAGACAUGGAAUUAGACUCCUUAUAGGCGUAAUGUACAGGCAGCUCUUGUUCUUUGAUCUAUUGGGGCACAUCCCACGAUUUACCUUCUCACAAAAUUCUAAGGGUGGGACGGUAGGGGCCCUCAAGAUUGGGGUUCAACCUUUUUAGCAAUAUGUGCAAUUAUGUGACGAUGGGUUCAAAAUCAAUGACUUCGAUGAAUCCAUGUGUAAGAGUGUCAACCAAUUGUAGGAAGGAGAGUGUGCAAGUAGCAUGAUUGAUCAUAUUGAGUCCCUAUUUGGAAUAGCUAAAAAUUAGAACUAUAGUGAAUUUUAGUAAAAGUCAAUGAAAUGUGUGUUUGAAAAUAUGUAAGUUAUAUAAAAUAUGUGAUUAGAAUUAAUUGUUAAUUUUGAUUUAAAUUUUUACCAAGAUCAAAAUUCACAUCAAGCAGGGGCUUAAUCUAGCUUUUACUGUAACUUAUUUAGUGCAAUAAGAUAUCAAGAGAAUUGAAAGAUGAUUAACCAAUGCAAUCUAUACAUAUCCUUCAAUCCAUUGCACUUUUACCCAUCGUUAAUUUGUAGAAAACUGUUGAAUGAAUAAAACAAACCAAAUACCAAUUGGCUAUUGACCUUAACAAUUCUGCAUAUGUUUCGGAAGAAUUUAUGAACAAUUUAAUUUAUAUAUAGAUAGAAUUAAGUGGUAGACAAAUGGAUAUGGUAUUUGUGAGUUCCUUAAAAUGUGUGUUCGAAAAUAAAGUUUGAUCAUUUAUAAGGAAUAAUUUAUAACUUUUACCAAACGGAGGUAAAAUGGUCCAUGUUAGAGGUCCAAAUUAUAUAAUUGUCAAAUUCCUUAGUCGAAAUCAUGUUUUAGUUGAAUUGUUUUAGGAGUUAAUUGAGUCGCAAUCAAAAUCAAAAUAGGAUUUAUUGAGUCCAAGUUAUAGUAAGAAAUAGAUUUAGGUUGGUAGAGUCCAAAAAGAAGUUAAAGAAAGUGAAGAUCAAGAAGAUCAACAUUCGAACUUCAUAAAAUGCGGGCGUGCACAACCAGAAGAGUUCCUCGAUGAUUUAUAAGUUAGGUGUCUAGAGUCAGCUAAGGUUUAAUAGUGUCUGGACUAACCAUAAGUUAAUUUUUCUAUUGGAUUUCACUAACAAAUUUGCCCGGAGGUUUUUUAUCUUAAGUUGCAAUUUUCCUUCGUGAUCAUAUUUGCUGUUAUUUAUUUAUUUAUUGCUUUGAUCUGAAUGUUUAUGAUUGUUUAAAAAUAUAAAUUAAUUGAAUUAAUUACCUUAAUCAUCUAAAAAUAAUUAAUAAGUAACUUUGUUGCUUUUAGUUGAUUUAAUUUCAGAUGUGGGUCUAGACUAAUAGAUUAAUUUAAGCUUUCAAUCUACAACGUUAGCUGGCUCAGCUUGCCUGCGUUGAAGCUUUCUAUUAUUAAUCUUAACUUAUUCUCAUUAAUAUAUGCUACCUAAGUACGGAUGUACUUGCCACUGUACUAGUUCACACCAACCUCCUCUCAUAUUAAAAGAAAAAAAAAAAAAAAGAUUAAACCACUAUGCCAAAUGAAUUGUGACAUAGAGGUUGACAAAUUCCUAGGUGGAUGGAAAUUAUGACAAUGUUUAAAACAGUCAAAUGAUAAAUUAUCAUAGCACUAUGUCAACCUAUCUGUCAAUUACUUAAUUAGGGUGGGAUUGUAGCAUGAUUGAAAAAACUACCCUUAAGAUUUGUUCAAUCAGUUUUUUCAUAGGGAUGCAUCGCAUCGAGAUGUACGCUAUUAUUUUUAGGUAUGGAUGGCAAAAACUUCAUGUGUAUGUGUAAAAUACUGUUCCUAAGUUUAGGAUGUUGAGUAAGACAAGAACAAGGUAAGAUACAGAAAAUUCGAAUAUUAUAGUUAAUAAUUUUCGAACCAUGUCAUCAUUUCAAUGCAAGUUGUUAAUGAGUUGAGAUCUGCUGUCCACCAAUGAAUGAUUGACACAUCAUUUUAUAUUAAACUAUCAUUGAACUUUAAGCACAAGUGACAAUGAGAAAAAAAUUGGAUAACAAAUUGGACAGCAUAUCUCAUAUCGUUGUUAAUGAAGGAUAUUGACUUUCCCUCUAGCCGGCUAGACCCAUCUAAUUAAUGGGGUAUUUUCAUUGAUCAAUCCUUAUGAAUGAAAUGCCUUCAUGGAUAUCUAUCUUUAAGAACAUUGUGUUGGGGAAAUCAUACAUUGAUUAUUCAUCAAUUACUUGUGUAAUUGUAGCAUAGCGAUUAGCGAGCUAUAAUUGUAUUGUAGUAAACUACCGAAGUGAAUACCAUACUUGAAAGAAUAGGAGAUCAUGGCACAAAUUAUAAUGUAGGCUGGGCGAUUGGCAGAUGAAGGUGACCCUUGUCAGGUCAUGUCAUUUUUUUGAUGUAACAACCUUAUUUUUGUUGGGAUGAAAUUUCUUUCAAACUCCUAAGAAAGUAAGAAAUAGUUAGAAAAUGCAUGUAAUUAACAUUAUAACAAGAGUCAUGCUGUCAGCCACCUUGUGACACUAAUUAAUGUUAAACUAUAAUUAUGAAAAUUAAUUAAUUAUUGACUGUAUGUUCUCAUUUGUGUCUACGAGGAAGGAGAGAGGCUUGUACGGAUUGACCCGACAUUUUUCUUCUUAGGCACGUUCAUUAAAGAUUGCAAUACUAGUACUCAAGCCUCUCCCUCUUUCUCUCUCUCUCUGAGACGAGAAUCUUUCUUCUUCUUUUUUUUUCUUUAAUAAUGCAAGAUCGAGUUAGUGUGAAGAAAUAUAAAAUGAUUUAUGUUACUGGACUUUUAAAAAAUUUCACAUGUUAAGUAUUUGAUGAAACUUUAAUGUGUGAAUAGACAUUUUGAAAAUUAAAGUCAUCCUGUGACGGUAUAGGCUUUUAUUGGAAUGACCUUCCCGAAAUUGGUCAUCAACUUGCCAAAAAUGAAUUAUGGAUGCCGUGGUAUGAUCUUUUCAUACACUUAUGUGAAGACAAUUAUGGUCAAGCUGACAUUGGAUCACCAUAAUUUUACUCGCUGCAUAAUCUAUUCAUGUGAUAAAAUAGAGAUGAGUUGGGUUGAAUCUAAAUAGCUCUAUUGACUAUGGUGGCCGAGUCUCAUGUCAAGCCACUUUACACUUCUAACCCUGUUUGCUGGGAAUUAAAAAUCAAAUUUUUAGUAGAUUUUGAUAAAAAUUGAUGAAAUAUGUAGUUGAAAAGUGUGAAUUCCAUAAAAUGUGUUAUUAAAAUUAGUUAUCGACAUUGAUUUAAAUUAAAAUUUUAACUUUAAUUUCUACAAAACAGAAGCCUGAUGGUCAAUUUCUUCUUGUGUGAACCUCUCCCAUGGCCCCACAUUCACGUCAAGCCAGUUUACACUUCGUGCCUGUUUGGGAGGGAUUUUAAAAAUUGAUUUUUUGACCGUUAGAAGAAAAGUGGGAUCCACAUGUGAGAGAAGAAGUCAAAUAUGACGAUUAAAAUAGUGAAAUAACGAUUAAAAAAUUAAUUUUUUGGGGGAAAAAAUCACUUCCAAACCGGCCCUUCUAAUGGUUAAUUUCUGCUUGUGUGAACCCAUGGCCCCACGUGGGAAAGGGAAUUUUGCUCCAAACGAUGCAUGUCAACAUGUUCAUGUGUGUGCACUGGCUUUUCCCAAAGCAGAAAGAGAUCUAUCUUUCAUUCGUACCUUACCAUGAGUGAAUUCGAGAAUUCCUAGAGCAAAAGUCAAUUUAUGCAGGCGUCAUCUUGUAGCCCAUCAAACGGUUGCGCUUACUGCAAAUUCUUUAUUUAAUUCUAUCCGGACAGUACCUUGAUUCUAUAUAUAACGCGUUUUUAUGAGAUGCAUGCAAGACAGAGAAGCACCAGCUGUUUUUCUUAUCUUUNNNNNNNNNNNNNNNNNNNNNNNNNNNNNNNNNNNNNNNNNNNNNNNNNNNNNNNNNNNNNNNNNNNNNNNNUUAAUUUUUAAAAAAAAAAAAAAAAAAGCACACUCCCAUAAGCUUCCUGCAGUCUCCUGGAAGCUGCUUUUGACUGAAUACUAUGUUUCACUUUCAAGCAUGCAUUAUUAUUGUAUUCACAUUUAUAAAUAUACACAUGUAGAGAGAGGUUAUUAUACUUAGAAAAAUGAUAAGUAUCGGUGUUUAGUUUAUGUAAAACAUCGAUUACAUGUCACAACAAUUAAUUUGGUGAAUCAUUAAAUUCAUGGAACCUACGAUUAACUUAUUCAUUAGUCAAAUGAUGUGCCCUGUCUUCGGCGCUUAACAUAAAUUAAACACCGAUGCCCAUUAGAUCAUUUCUCAUUAUACUUAAUGUACAUAUACAUGUUGUGUAUAAUAUGUGAUUAUUGAUACUUUAGAGUUUUAUCAAAAAUGAUAUUAUUAUUUACUUUUUAACAUAUCGGGUGGCAAAUGGGGACGGUUCAGGGGUUUGGCUCAUUUUCGUCCCAUCUCGUUAAAUUGCUAACUUGUUUUAGAACACUAAUCUCAAAAUUUGACUAUUUGUUUGAGUUUUAAUUAAUCAUGUCAAAUUGACCUUUUUGUGCUCAAAUGUCAUACUAUUGCUUGAGUUACGUGAACUUUUAUCGUUAAUACAAUAUUAUAGUUAUUUAAGAGCAAUUUCAAGAGAUUUUCUAAAAAUGAAAUGCAUUUUCUUUUAAAGAGCUAGCUAAGGCUUAAAAUAAGCUCCAAAAAACUCUAUUUUAUUUUUUUAAAAUAGAGAGUGUGCACUCUAUAUAUUCUUAAUGAACAUUGAUUUCAUUCACAUAUUUCAAUAUUCUAUUUCUUAAACUAUACAAACCAUAUUUAAAUUGAUUGGCCAUUGACAAAUAAAAAUUAUAUUGAAUAAAAUAUAAUGAAAAAUCAAUAAAUGCUUUUUGAGAAAAUCAAAAUAAAAGAAUCAGAGUGCAUAAAAAUUUUAACUCUCUAAAUUUAAAAAUGCUAUUUUUAAAUAAAGAAUCUUUCGAAAAUGAGCACCAAACUUCAAAUUCAACUAUUCAAUUCCAAGUUCAUUUUAUAUAUGUAUUUUAUAUGUAUUUCUAAAUGUAAAACCCAUAUGGCCAAAAGACUGAUGAGUGGCCCCAAUGGCAAUGAAAGUUAUUUGUGGAGUUGUGGUGCGAGUCAAGAACUGAUCUAGAAUGAAUAUUACAAAAUAUUUAUUAUUAAAUUUUGAUUUCUAACAUAUGCAAUGCAAAUAUACCUUUCAUUAGCAUAUCUGUGAUGGGGAAGCUUUUGAAAAACUUGACACCUCUCAGCUUUACUCGGCAUAUAAUUGAUAAGGAAAAGGAGAGGCAGCUUCAUAUUCUCUUCAACUUGAUCAUAAAGAUUAUGCAUCUGUUUAAUUUAAUUUAGAUGAAAAUUAGAUUUUUAAUAAAUUUUAAUAAAAAUUGAUGAAAUAUAUGAUUGGAAUAUUGUGGAUUUCAUGAAAUAUAUGGCUAAAAAUAAUUGUUGACUUUGACUUAUAUUUUCAUUUAAUUUUUUAAUUGAACCAAGCAGGGGCUAUAUUCUAGGGUCAAUAUUAUAACUAUGCUUUGUUCUCAAGUUUUGAGUCAUUAAACAUUAAAAUGAGAAUGCAUGUCAGCACAUGGGAUGAUAUAAAUUGAGAAUAAAUUGAGGAAAAAAUAUUUAUUGUAGGGACAUAUCUUGUACUGAUCUAAGAAGAUGUCUUAGUAAGAAAGCUUGACAUAGAUGUAACAACAAAUUAAAAAAGGGAGCUAGUCUUGUAACAAUUAUAAUUUCAAUUCAGAGGGUCUUAUGAGCGUUUUACCAUGGGACAGAAAUGUCAUUAUCACUGGUAUAUGUUUUUAUUGGAAAAUAUCUGUCACCCAUUUCAUGUUACAUAAAGACAUUACUACCCUUGACUAGGUAGAUCUGUCCAGGACAUCCAACCCAAAAACCCAUCUAUAAAUAUCAAUCUUCUCUCCUUAAAUAAUCACUUCCCAAUUGCAUUUUCCUUAUCAGGUAUACAAAGAAAUAGAAACCCUUAAUUCGGUGUUCAGUUGUUCAUCGAUUCAAGUACACAAUAGUUGAGUCCAGAACAUUGUGAGACCACACUGAUAUCGAUUCUUUAAAGUAUCCAAGAAUGGUGAAGAAAGAGCAAAAGAUCCAAUCUGUGGCGGCCAAAGAAGUUUUGUCGUCCGCAAUAUCGUCGUCGUCGUCGAGCUCGAAAUCUUUCUACAUAAAGAAGUACAAGGGAGUUAGAAUGAGAAGCUGGGGAUCAUGGGUUUCUGAAAUAAGGGCACCUAACCAAAAAACAAGAAUAUGGUUAGGGUCAUAUACAACACCAGAGGCAGCUGCUAGGGCAUAUGAUGCUGCUCUUUUGUGCCUUAAGGGAACUUCAGCCAAUUUCAACUUCCCAAUAUCCAAAUCACAAAACCUCCACCAUAACACCAUCAUGUCCCCUAAGUCCAUCCAAAGAGUGGCUGCCGCCGCAGCUGCCGCCGCCAACGGUAAUUUUCCUCCGCCAGGACC
rnacentral:lncRNA from 1 species